rnacentral:misc_RNA from 1 species
GAAAUGCGAUACGUAAUGUGAAUUGCAGAAUUCAGUGAAUCAUCGAAUCUUUGAACGCACCUUGUGCCCCUUGGUAUUCCGAGGGGCACACCCGUUUGAGUGUCGUGAACACCCUCAACCUUCUUGGUUUCUUGACCAGGAAAGGCUUGGACUCUGGAGGUUGUCCUUGCUGGCUUGCCAGCUCCUCCUAAACGAAUUAGUGGGGUCUGCUUUGCUGAUCCUUGACGUGAUAAGUAUGCUUCUACGUCUUGGGUUUUGCACUGUUGCCCUGGAACCUGCUUCCAAUGGCCUUCAUUUCAAAGAUGACGUUCGAGUUGCUUUUGUGACUUGACCUCAGUGACCUUGACCUCAAAUCGGGUGAGACUACCCGCUGAACUUAA